rnacentral:lncRNA from 1 species
GAGUACUUCACUUAUCCUUUUCCCACACUGGGGAGUCUCUCCAAGCUCGUAGCUGAUCCCCGCGAAGCAGGCUGCUUCACUUCCCUCUCCUUUUUCGCUUUAGGUGUUUCCUGUCACAUCCCUGUUGAAUUCCAGUGUUAUCCAAUGAUCUAUUGAAAAUGUGAUUACCUACUCGCUAAUUAGUCUCCUUUUUACAGAAGAGAUAUGACAACAGCCUGAUCCAUGGUAGAAAGAGGAUAUAAAAAAGUACCUUUCUCUGAGCAAAAUUGAGCUAAGGGCUUUGGAGAUUUCACCCUGGAUUUUCAAAGGACCUCCAGUGGACUUGUGUUUUGAGAAUUUGCAACUAAGUCAUUUAUGACUAAUUCCCAAACAAUCAAACUGUUCCAGAAUCCCGACUUACUGUGAAAACUUUUAUCUGCAAAUCCAGUUUUGCACUUCGAAUAUGGAAAAACUGAACUUACAUAAUUU